rnacentral:rRNA from 1 species
GUGAACGCUGGCGGUAGGCCUAACACAUGCAAGUCGAACGGCAGCACAGUAAGGGCUUGCUCUUACGGGUGGCGAGUGGCGGACGGGUGAGGAAUACAUCGGAAUCUACUUUUUUGUGGGGGAUAACGUAGGGAAACUUACGCUAAUACCGCAUACGACCUACGGGUGAAAGCAGGGGAUCUUCGGACCUUGCGCGAUUGAAUGAGCCGAUGUCGGAUUAGCUAGUUGGCGGGGUAAAGGCCCACCAAGGCGACGAUCCGUAGCUGGUCUGAGAGGAUGAUCAGCCACACUGGAACUGAGACACGGUCCAGACUCCUACGGGAGGCAGCAGUGGGGAAUAUUGGACAAUGGGCGCAAGCCUGAUCCAGCCAUACCGCGUGGGUGAAGAAGGCCUUCGGGUUGUAAAGCCCUUUUGUUGGGAAAGAAAAGCAGCAGGUUAAUACCCCGCUGUUCUGACGGUACCCAAAGAAUAAGCACCGGCUAACUUCGUG